rnacentral:lncRNA from 1 species
CUGUUGUUGUUGCUGGCCUGCUGCUACUGCUAGGGAGGUAAAUUCGGCAUGGCAUCAGCAGGGAGUGGCAUGGCAGGCAGCCAAUCUUCAGUUGGUAGUAUGCAAGCAACAGUAUUGAUGUUGAUCUCAUAGACGAAGAGGCUGGGUAUGCUUGUUGAGCGUUAUGUGAUUAUGUCUAUCCCAAACUGACAAAUUAUAAUACUAUCAUAUGAUGUAUUUUGCAUACACCACGAAGAUUAAGGACAUUGAUGACCAUUCACGACUUGAAAAGAGGCAUGGAGGCAACCAAUGGGGCAGUAUUUUGAUCUCAUCUCAUGCAUUCAAUUUGUUUUUGUCUUUAUUACAUGGUAUUUUAUUAAUUAUCAAUUAUUUACAUAUACUCACCAUAUCGCUGUAUCUAGAAAUUGAUGUAUCCCGUGUCCACCUUAUGGUCUUAUAUCUCACAGCAACUGCAAUCCCCGUCAUGUCAACGUUGUCGUAGGAGCCAAUUUUGUGACGCAGUCUGUCAUAUAAUUUACGGUGAACUCUUUUGUAUAUGAACAACAAAAUUGUCUUGACAUGUUUCGGCAAGAUGCGCACGUACAAAACCACAAGCAGACGGCUUGAUUUUUUCUAUUAACCAUGUAUUAGAAAUCUUAUUCAUUUACACUAGUCAGAUUCCAUUAAACUGUGCCUAAUUUUAACAUCUUGUUUGUCCACAAGGCAAUGUAAAGCAAAAAAAUCGGUCAACCUGAAAUACCCAUCGGGCCACCAAGGCCACGGACUAUUCUUUAUAUGGGUCGACCCAUGGCCUCUCAAAUUGGCCCUGGGGCCACACCCAUAGGGGCCGGGUCCAAGACCAGGUUCGGGUCGGCCCAUUCCCAUCCUGAC